GGUUUGUUUAAGUCUUGUUUACAUGUUACCCUCAGUCGUGGUCGAAGCCGACGUACACUGAAUACAACUCGGUCCUGAUCAUUUCGGUUGAUUGUAAAUCCUACGAAGUUUGACCAAUUCUUCAGCGGAAAUCACGCGAGUAAAUUUUCUGUAAAAGAAGGAGGCUGUCUGUAAAGCAUCAGUAAUGAGUUUGUCUCCCUCGCAACCCCGAAAGCUUCCUUCGAGGCCUUCAUCUAGAGAGUCAAGUCCCAUGAGUAGCCCAAGAAUAGGUAAAAGAAACAGCCUGCGGGGCAGCUCAUCUCAAAUACCAGUGAGGAAAGAUUCUGGAACACCGACGAACAAAGCGAAGCCUGCGCCUUUGCUUAGAACCAGAUCGCGUGAUUUUAUGGACGCUGUAAAGAAAUUCGAAGGCGGAAAGCUUCCUGAGAAACUUAUGAAAACUGUCGACGAGGAAAGGAAAGCUAUCGGUGAUCAUUUAGCACAAUGCGAAAAUGAUUUGAGAGAAAUAAGAGAGUUCGUGGCUCGUACACAAGAAGACUUUCAAAAGAUCCGUAGUCAGACGAGGAAAUUGAAGAAUGAAGUUAAUGAGCUCCGCGACUUCAAUAAAAUGGCGUUAAAGCGGAGCUGAUCAAAGGAUCCUUGCAUGGGAAAAUUUGAGAAUUGGAAAUCAACGAGUUGAAUGUUAUUACCACUCUGGGGACCGACCACGAGUUUCCAAGCGAAAAGGGGGAGACUGAAGUAGUGUCAGGCAAACGUAUAACUAAGUAUUUAUACAAAUGUUUUUCAUUUUUUAACGGGCCACAAAAAUAUUUUCAAAGGCAGCUAUAAAAGAAUGGGAUCGGGGGACGGAUUAUAACAAAGAGAGCACAACUAGUAAAUGUCAAGUUAAACACUGUUUUAUUGUGUAUUCAAUUACAUGUUUCAUACUUAAGAUUUCAAUUGUGGACAAUUUUCUUGUUUCUUCAAUCCUUGGAAGAACUGGCGAGUAACACACUGAAAAAGUAUAUAAAGGAGAAUGUUCAUAAAUUGCAUAAUUAUAAUAAACAACUUUUAAGUUUCUUGUA